CGGCGAGUAAAAAUCCAAACUUUCCCCCAAAGCUCAAACUCUGCUCUGAGCUGCAUCCUCACAAAGCAAUGGAAGCUUAGGGUUCCGCUGCUGCAUUUGGAGGUUGUGCUGUGAUCUAGCCUCUUUCCUGAGUCGUUUUAUACCCCAGCUUGGAUUAAGCGGUUUGAUAUCCAAAACUCAGUUUCUGAAGCCCUGAUCUCUGCCGCGAUGGGAAAGACUCCUGGAAAAUGGAUCAAGGCCUUGCUUUCGGG